rnacentral:rRNA from 1 species
AGAUUGAGUUUGAUCCUGGCUCAGAGCGAACGCUGGCGGCAGGCUUAACACAUGCAAGUCGAGCGGGCGUAGCAAUACGUCAGCGGCAGACGGGUGAGUAACGCGUGGGGACGUACCUUUUGGUUCGAAACAACACAGGGAAACUUGUGCUAAUACCGGAUAAGCCCUUACGGGGAAAGAUUUAUCGCCGAAAGAUCGGCCCGCGUCUGAUUAGCUAGUUGGUGAGGUAACGGCUCACCAAGGCGACGAUCAGUAGCUGGUCUGAGAGGAUGAUCAGCCACAUUGGGACUGAGACACGGCCCAAACUCCUACGGGAGGCAGCAGUGGGGAAUAUUGGACAAUGGGCGCAAGCCUGAUCCAGCCAUGCCGCGUGAGUGAUGAAGGCCCUAGGGUUGUAAAGCUCUUUUGUGCGGGAAGAUAAUGACGGUACCGCAAGAAUAAGCCCCGGCUAACUUCGUGCCAGCAGCCGCGGUAAUACGAAGGGGGCUAGCGUUGCUCGGAAUCACUGGGCGUAAAGGGUGCGUAGGCGGGUCUUUAAGUCAGGGGUGAAAUCCUGGAGCUCAACUCCAGAACUGCCUUUGAUACUGAGGAUCUUGAGUUCGGGAGAGGUGAGUGGAACUGCGAGUGUAGAGGUGAAAUUCGUAGAUAUUCGCAAGAACACCAGUGGCGAAGGCGGCUCACUGGCCCGAUACUGACGCUGAGGCACGAAAGCGUGGGGAGCAAACAGGAUUAGAUACCCU